rnacentral:misc_RNA from 1 species
GAUCAAGAACGUAGCGAAAUGCGAUAAGUAAUGUGAAUUGCAGAAUUCAGUGAAUCAUCGAAUCUUUGAACGCACAUUGCGCCCGCCAGCACUCUGGCGGGCAUGCCUGUUCGAGCGUCAUUUCAACCAUCAAGCCCCCAGGGGCUUGUGCUGGGGCCCUGCGGCUGCCCGCAGGCCCUGAAAACCAGUGGCGGGCUCGCUAGUCACACCGAGCGCAGUAGCACAUCUCGCUCAGGGCGUGCGGCGGGCUCCUGCCGUGAAACCCCCCACUGUAACCCCAAAGGUUGACCUCGGAUCAGGUAGGAAUACCCGCUGAACUUAAGCAUAUCAAUAAGCGGAGGA